rnacentral:rRNA from 1 species
GACGAGGGGUCCUAGCGUUGUUCGGAAUUACUGGGCGUAAAGCGCAUGUAGGCGGCUUUGUAAGUCAGGUGUGAAAUCUCUGGGCUCAACCCAGAGCGUGCAUUUGAUACUGCUAAGCUUGAGUAUGGGAGAGGGUAGUAGAAUUCCUGGUGUAGUGGUGAAAUACGUAGAUAUCAGGAGGAAUACCGGUGGCGAAGGCGGCUACCUGGCCCAAUACUGACGUUGAGAUGCGAAAGCGUGGGGAGCAAACAGG